rnacentral:rRNA from 1 species
UACGGAGGGUGCAAGCGUUAUCCGGAUUUACUGGGUUUAAAGGGUGCACAGGCGGAUAUGUAAGUCAGUGGUGAAAUCUCUGGGCUUAACCCGGAAAUUGCCAUUGAUACUAUAUAUCUUGAAAUGCUGUGGAGGUAAGCGGAAUAUGUCAUGUAGCGGUGAAAUGCUUAGAGAUGACAUAGAACACCUAUUGCGAAGGCAGCUUACUACGCAGAUAUGACGCUCAUGCACGAAAGCGUGGGGAUCAAACAGGA